UUGAACGCUGGCGGCAGGCCUAACACAUGCAAGUCGAGCGGAUGAAGGGAGCUUGCUCCUGGAUUCAGCGGCGGACGGGUGAGUAAUGCCUAGGAAUCUGCCUGGUAGUGGGGGAUAACGUCCGGAAACGGGCGCUAAUACCGCAUACGUCCUGAGGGAGAAAGUGGGGGAUCUUCGGACCUCACGCUAUCAGAUGAGCCUAGGUCGGAUUAGCUAGUUGGUGGGGUAAAGGCCUACCAAGGCGACGAUCCGUAACUGGUCUGAGAGGAUGAUCAGUCACACUGGAACUUAGACACGGUCCUGGCUCCUACAGGAGGCAGCAGUGGGGAAUAUUGGACAAUGGGCGAAAGCCUGAUCCAGCCAUGCCGCGUGUGUGAAGAAGGUCUUCGGAUUGUAAAGCACUUUAAGUUGGGAGGAAGGGCAGUAAGUUAAUACCUUGCUGUUUUGACGUUACCAACAGAAUAAGCACCGGCUAACUUCGUG
rnacentral:rRNA from 1 species